rnacentral:rRNA from 1 species
GACGAACGCUGGCGGCGCGCCUAACACAUGCAAGUCGUGCGGCAAGGGGUAGCAAUACCCCCUAGAGCGGCGGACUGGUGAGUAACGCGUGGGUGAUCUGCCCUUGGGAUGGGGAUAGCCACUAGAAAUAGUGGGUAAUACCGAAUACGUUCGCGAGGUUGUGACCUUGCGAGGAAAAGCGCUUCGGCGCUGCCCGAGGAUGAGCCCGCGUCCCAUUAGCUAGUUGGUGAGGUAAUGGCCCACCAAGGCGAUGAUGGGUAGCCGG